CCCCUCCAUCGCCCGUCUAUUCGCCUCCGCCACCACCAGUUUAUAAUCCUCCUUCACCUUCACCACCACCACCACCACUUCCUCCAUCGCCUCCUCCGCCCGUUUAUUCACCUCCUCCGCCUCCUCCGUCACCUCCACCUCCCGUUUAUUCACCUCCUCCGCCUCCUCCGUCACCUCCACCUCCCGUUUAUUCACCUCCUCCGCCUCCUCCGUCACCUCCACCUCCCGUUUAUUCACCUCCUCCGCCUCCUCCGUCACCUCCACCUCCCGUUUAUUCACCUCCACCUCCUCCUCCACCCCCACCACCUGUUUAUUCGCCACCACCUCCUCCACCCCCACCACCUGUUUAUUCGCCACCACCUCCUCCACCACCUGUUUACUCGCCACCACCACCACCAUCACCUCCUCCUCCAUCACCAUUACCUUAUUGUGUACGCUCACCACCACCUCCACCACCAAAUUCACCACCUCCUCCGCCACCACCGCUUGCUCACUCACCUCCACCCCCUUCACCUUACUACUACAAUUCACCACCACCUCCGCCUCCUCCACCACCAAAUUCACCACCUCCACCACCUGUAUACAUAUACUCAUCACCUCCACCACCAAAUUCACCUCCUCCACCAGUAUACUCCUCCCCUCCACCGCCUCAUUUGCCUCCACCUCCAUCCCCGGUACCUUGUAUAGAACCCCCACCCCCACCCCCUCCUUGCAUAGAGCCACCUCCAUCACCAUCUCCUCCACCACCACCCGUUUACCACUACAACUCCCCGCCCCCACCAUCACCCUCACCACCGCCACCAUCACCUGUGUACUACUACAAUUCUCCUCCCCCUCCCUCACCGCCACCAGCAC
rnacentral:lncRNA from 1 species